GCCGCCGCGACGCCCGCUACCGACGCCUGCAGAGCAAGGUCUACAACUUCCUGGAGCGGCCGCGCGGACUGCAGGCUAUCAUCUACCACAUGCUCGUUUUCUGCAUGGUCUUCACGUGCCUCGCCUUGAGCGUUUUCUCUACGAUACAAGAGUACGAAGAAGACGCCAGAGCCAUCCUUUUCUACAUGGAGUUCGUAGUCGUAAUUUGGUUUAGUAUAGAAUUUUGCCUGAGGCUGUGGUCCUCUGGUUGUAGAUCUAGGUACCAAGGCGCUAUUGGACGAUUAAAAUUCCUGAGGAGGCCUUUUUGCAUAAUAG